rnacentral:rRNA from 1 species
UACGAAGGGGGCUAGCGUUGUUCGGAAUUACUGGGCGUAAAGCGCACGUAGGCGGAUACUUAAGUCAGGGGUGAAAUCCCGGGGCUCAACCCCGGAACUGCCUUUGAUACUAGGUAUCUCGAGUCCGGAAGAGGUGAGUGGAAUUCCGAGUGUAGAGGUGAAAUUCAUAGAUAUUCGGAGGAACACCAGUGGCGAAGGCGGCUCACUGGUCCGGUACUGACGCUGAGGUGCGAAAGCGUGGGGAGCAAACAGG